rnacentral:ncRNA from 2 species
CUAGUAAGCGCAAGUCAUCAGCUU